rnacentral:rRNA from 1 species
UGGUCUUAGCUUGCUAAGGCCGAUGGCGACCGGCGCACGGGUGAGUAACACGUAUCCAACCUGCCGUCUACUCUUGGACAGCCUUCUGAAAGGAAGAUUAAUACAAGAUGGCAUCAUGAGUCCGCAUGUUCACAUGAUUAAAGGUAUUCCGGUAGACGAUGGGGAUGCGUUCCAUUAGAUAGUAGGCGGGGUAACGGCCCACCUAGUCUUCGAUGGAUAGGGGUUCUGAGAGGAAGGUCCCCACAUUGGAACUGAGACACGGUCCAAACUCC